rnacentral:rRNA from 1 species
AACGAACGCUGGCGGCAGGCUUAACACAUGCAAGUCGAGCGCCCCGCCCGGGGUUCGGCAGACGGGUGGGUAACGCGUGGGGACGUACCUUUUUGUUCGAACCACCUCCGGGAAACUGGAGCUAAUACCGGAUAAGCCCUAACGCGGAAAGAUUUAUCGGCCGACGUUCGGCCCGCGUCUGAUUAGCUACUUGGUGAGGUAGCGGCUCGCCAAGGCGACGAUCAGUAGCUGGUCUGAGAGAAUGAUCAGCCACACUGGGACUGAGACACGGCCCAGACUCGGACGGGAGGGAGCAGUGGGGAAUAUUGGAGGAGGGGCGCAAGCGUGGUACAGCCAUGCGGGGGGAGUGAGGAAGGCCUUAGGGUUGUAAAGCUCCUUUGGCCGGGAAGAGAAUGACGGUACCGGAAGAAGAAGCCCCGGCUAACUUCGUG